UACGGAGGGUGCAAGCGUUAUCCGGAUUCACUGGGUUUAAAGGGUGUGUAGGCGGGUAUUUAAGUCAGUGGUGAAAUCUCCGAGCUCAACUCGGAAACUGCCAUUGAUACUAUUUAUCUUGAAUAUUGUUGAGGUAGGCGGAAUAUGUCAUGUAGCGGUGAAAUGCUUAGAUAUGACAUAGAACACCGAUUGCGAAGGCAGCUUGCUAAACAAUUAUUGACGCUGAGGCACGAAAGCGUGGGGAUCAAACAGGAUUAGAUACCCUGGUAGUCCACGCCCUAAACGAUGAUUACUGGACAUUCGCGAUAUACAGUGAGUGUCUGAGCGAAAGCAUUAAGUAAUCCACCUGGGAAGUACGUCCGCAAGGAUGAA
rnacentral:rRNA from 1 species